rnacentral:SRP_RNA from 1 species
GCCAGAUGUGGUGGUGCAUGCCUGUAAUCCCAGCUACUCAGGAGGCUGAGGCAGGGGAAUCGUUUGAGCCCAGGAGGUAGAGGUUGCAGUGAGCUGAGAUCGUGCCACUGCACACUAGCCUGGGCAACAGAGUGAGACUCUGUCUCAA